rnacentral:rRNA from 1 species
CGUAGGGUCCAAGCGUUAUCCGGAAUCACUGGGCGUAAAGCGUGCGUAGGCGGGAGUCUAAGUGAGAAAUUAAAUCGUGUGGCUCAACCAUAUCGAUGUUUCUCAUACUGGGCACCUAGGGGAAGGCAGAGGCAAGUGGAAUUAGUAGUGUAGCAGUGAAAUGCGUAGAGAUUACUAGGAACACCAAUGGCGAAGGCAGCUUGCUGGGCCUUUUCUGACGCUGAGGUACGAAAGCGUGGGGAGCGAACAGGAUUAGAUACCCUGGUAGUCCACGCCGUAAACGAUGCAUACUAGUUUUUUGGGGUAUCGACCCCCUGAGAAACGAAGCUAACGCGAUAAGUAUGCCGCCUGGGAAGUACGGCCGCAAGGCUA